AUGAAUCCCAACGAAAACCCGCACCCACCGCACCCAACAAUGUGUUUAGCACCCACCGCGUCGUCGAAGCCAACCAAGUCGGGUGGAGGCAAGCAGAAGAAGUGGAGCAAGGGCAGGCAAAAGGAGAAGGUGAACAACACGGUGAUCUUCGACCAGGACACCUACGACAAGCUGCUCACCAAGGUGCCCAAGUACAAGCAGAUCACGCCCUCCGUCCUGUCCGAGCGACUCAGGAUCAAUGGGUCGCUGGCUCGCAGGGCCAUCAAGGACCUAAUGGAGAGGGGACUCAUCAGGAUGGUGUCAAUCCAGUCCAGCCAGCAGAUCUUCACCAGGGCGACAAACACUGCCACCAGUCAUGUUAAUAUUCAGCUGUAUUUUAUAGUUGAAUAG
rnacentral:rRNA from 1 species